UAAGAGGUCACGCCUGCCCAGUGACUCUAAGUUUAACGGCCGCGGUAUUUUGACCGUGCAAAGGUAGCGCAAUCACUUGUCUUUUAAAUGGAGACCUGUAUGAAUGGCAUCACGAGGGCUUAACUGUCUCCUUUCUUAGGCCAAUGAAAUUGAUCUCUCCGUGCAGAAGCGGGGAUAAUAUCAUAAGACGAGAAGACCCUAUGGAGCUUUAGACACUAAGACAGUUUACGUCAAAUUUCCCUGCAUAAAGAAUCGAACUAAAUAAGUCCUGUCCUAAUGUCUUUGGUUGGGGCGACCCCGGGGAGAUAAAGAACCCCCAUGUGGAGUGGAAAUAUAUUUCCAAAGCCAAGAGCCACCGCUCUAAGAAGCAGAACUUCUGACCAAACUAGAUCCGGCAAAGCCGAUCAACGGACCGAGUUACCCUAGGGAUAACAGCGCAAUCCCCUUCUAGAGUCCCUAUCGACAAGGGGGUUUACGACCUCGAUGUUGGAUCAGGACAUCCUAAUGGUGCAGCCGCUAUUAAGGGUUCGU
rnacentral:rRNA from 1 species